GACGAACGCUGGCGGCGUGCUUAACACAUGCAAGUCGAACGGAAAGGCCUGCUUUCCCUUGUGGAUUGCGGGUACUCGAGUGGCGAACGGGUGAGUAACACGUGAGUGAUCUGCCCCCAACUUGGGUAUAAGCCUGGGAAACUGGGUCUAAUUCCCGAUAGGACUGCAGGGUGGUGCCUGUGGUGGAAAACGAUUUUCUAGUGGUUGGGGAUGAGCUCGCGGCCUAUCAGCUUGUUGGUGGGGUAAUGGCCUACCAAGGCGGCGACGGGUAGCCGGCCUGGGGGGGGGGCAGGAGAAGUUGGGAAGGGGAGACGGGCCAGCGGGCGACGGGAGGGGGGAGGGGGGAAUAGUGAAAGAUGGGCGGAGGGCUGAGGCGGAGGCGCGGCGUGGGGGAGGACGGCCUGGGGGUUGGGAAGUCCUUUGGACGGCGAGGAAGCCACCUGGUGGGAAGGGUGGUGAGGGUAGUGGUAGAAGAAGCACCGGCGAACUACGU
rnacentral:rRNA from 1 species